AAAAGGACCGCCAAAACUUAAAGAACUAAUGACCUUCAAAACGCAACGUUUUGAAUAUACCUAAUGAGUAAUUACCUUCAAAACACGGCUUGGUGCUCUGCCACGUCUGCAACUCUCAUCAUUGAACCACGAGAUUGAACCACGAGGAGGAGGAGGAGGAGGAGGAAGAGGAAAAUUUCAAGGAAGGAAUAGUCUAGAAACCCUUCAAAACACAUAUACGAACUGUGAUGAAUAUUUGAUGUAAAUUAUUGGGAGUAGAAGACAAUGGUGUUACUGCUGGCAAUUGGGGAUCUUCACAUCCCACACAGGGCGCCUGAUCUGCCACCAAAGAUCAAAUCCAUGCUUGUUCAUGGCAAGAUCCAGCACAUCAUUUGCAACUGCAUUCUCUAAAUCAUAGACUAUGGUAUUUUAUUUGGAAGGAAUUCGUAUUAUGGCAAUUUUCACUGUGUCAGAAUGACUUCUCGCCUGUAAAUUCUACCAUUACUCUCUGACUAGCCAUCAAAGUUUUAUAAAAUGAUGACUAAUACAGAGAUUACUAGAUUAGUCGAUCAAAUAUGGUAUCUUGAUCAUUAGCUGUGACAGUGAGAUUUUCUGCAGAGAUUUAGCUAGUGAGUACCUGCUUGCUAGAAACUCUUGAGAGACGCGUAGCAUCGU